UCAGAGGCAGAGAGCUUCAAGUUUGGGCACUAAUGAAGAGCUCAGAGGGAGGGGAAGCUGGCACCCAGCACCGGGACAGCCCGAGGGCAGAGCCCAGCGCCUCGGGGAUGUCCCACAUGGGGAUGUGGUCAGGACAGGCUGCACAGGGGAGGCUCUCAUGAGGUUGGGAUCAUGGAAUUGUAGCACCAUUGAACAGCCCAGGCUGGAAGGGACCUCGGAAGAUCACUGGGUCCAACCUCCCCUGGGAAGAGGGAGCCUAGAUGAGAUUAUCCAGCACCCAGCCCAAUCCCAUCCUGAAGACCUGCAGUGAUGCUGAUUCCACAACAUCUCUCGGGAGGUGAUUGCUCUCACUGCAAAAAAAAAUCUUUAUUGUAUCAAGAAAAGACUUCUCCUGGUACAAAGUGUACCAGUUCAUUGUCUCUUGUCUCUUCCAUGUGGCUUCUUGGGACAGAGCCUCUGCCCUCUUUGCAGUUACCCCAAAGUACCAGAAUACUGUGACGAGGCCUCCCCAGAGCCUUCUCUUCUCAGGGUGAAAAGACCCAACUCUGUCAGCCUUUCCUCACAGGGCAGGUUCUCCAACCCUCGGAUCAUCCUCAUGGCCCUCCUUUGGAAUCUCCCAUCUGUCCUCAUCUUUUCUGAAUUGUGGGGACCAGAACUGGACACAGAGCUGCAGGCACAGCCCAACAAGCGCUGGGAGGAGUGGGAUGCUCACCGGUUUGCAAGCAGGGCACAGUACUCCUCUGAUCUGACCAAGACAGCCCCCCCAAAGGGGGGUUACAUGUUCAAAACACAGUGUCUGGGGGUUGGCAAGGUCGUGUCAGAUGCUGAACGAAGACGUGCCCCACAGACAGGCUUUGCUGGGUGAGAAGCCAUCUGCCUCACUGGCCCAGCAGCACUGGUGCCUCCACCCAGCAGGGCAAGUUCUCGGAGUCUCCAAGUGCCCCAGUUCCUCAUGAAAUGGUAUGAUUUAUACAAAACUUCAUAACUUACUCAGUAACUGAAAAUGAUUAUUAAAAGUGGUUGAGGAAUUGCAGCACGGAAGGUCAUUCUGUAACUGGGGAUUGAGUAAACAGUGGAGGCCAGGAGUUAGUGUCAUGAACAGACGUGGCCAACGGGUACUUACAAAUGUUUAGUAUUUAGAGGAAAAAAAAUGCUAUUUUUGCUGCCAAAAUUUAAUUUAAUUAGGGAUUGUUUGGGUUUUGUUCUUUUUAAUGUGGUUUGUUUGUUAUGUUCAUUGAGAAGCAUCAUUGCCAUGGUAACUGCCAUGCCGCGUGUGGGGCAAUGUGCACACUUUUAAGCGGCGCACAGGGUGCGGUGUACCCACGGAUGUGUGUAGCCAGUAUGCCAGAGGAUACGGGGAGAUCCAUAACAAGAGCACUAAAAAGCUUCGGAACAAAUUAGGAAAUGUUAUUUGUCUGUACAAACAAGAACGCUUUCUUGGCCUUCCUUAGUUUUUAUUUAUUUUUUUUUUUUUUUUUUUUCCUCAACACUCCUACGUAAGCAUUAAAAGAACAGAGGGAAAAUUAAAUGAAGCUGUGGGAAGAAUGCUGAGUUUACCAUCUGAUUUUGAUUUGGGAUAUUUCUGUGGAAAUAAAAAGAUGUUUUUUUUUUUAAUUAUUUUUGUUUUUCUUGCUGGACAGUUGUUGCAGACACUUAGCAAAACAAUCAAGAUGCACUAUUUGGCCCAAAAAAUGUUCAGUAGUGUGUGCCCAGUAAAUUUGCAAUGGGAAAACAAGCCGAAAAAUGCUGCUUUUUCCCCUUUCUGUUGGUUUUGUGGGAAAGAGAACGCUAUGUGCACUAUGAAAACACCAGAGAUUAAAUAGCUCAGCAGAAGACAAGGAGGCGUUGCACAGGUCUGCUGU